GGCGUAAGCUAUCGCUUUUGGAUGGACCCGCGGCGUAUUAGCUAGUUGUUGAGGUAACGGCUCACCAAGGCAAUGAUACGUAGCCGAACUGAGAGGUUGAUCGGCCACAUUGGGACUGAGACACGGCCCAAACUCCUACGGGAGGCAGCAGUAGGGAAUCUUCCACAAUGGACGCAAGUCUGAUGGAGCAACGCCGCGUGAGUGAAGAAGGCUUUCGGGUCGUAAAACUCUGUUGUUGGAGAAGAAUGGUCGGCAGAGUAACUGUUGUCGGCGUGACGGUAUCCAACCAGAAAGCCACGGCUAACUACGUGCCAGCAGCCGCGGUAAUACGUAGGUGGCAAGCGUUAUCCGGAUUUAUUGGGCGUAAAGCGAGCGCAGGCGGUUUUUUAAGUCUGAUGUGAAAGCCCUCGGCUUAACCGAGGAAGUGCAUCGGAAACUGGGAAACUUGAGUGCAGAAGAGGACAGUGGAACUCCAUGUGUAGCGGUGAAAUGCGUAGAUAUAUGGAAGAACACCAGUGGCGAAGGCGGCUGUCUGGUCUGUAACUGACG
rnacentral:rRNA from 1 species